AUUGAACGCUGGCGGCAGGCCUAACACAUGCAAGUCGAGCGGAUGAGUGGAGCUUGCUCCAUGAUUCAGCGGCGGACGGGUGAGUAAUGCCUAGGAAUCUGCCUGGUAGUGGGGGACAACGUUUCGAAAGGAACGCUAAUACCGCAUACGUCCUACGGGAGAAAGCAGGGGACCUUCGGGCCUUGCGCUAUCAGAUGAGCCUAGGUCGGAUUAGCUAGUAGGUGAGGUAAUGGCUCACCUAGGCGACGAUCCGUAACUGGUCUGAGAGGAUGAUCAGUCACACUGGAACUGAGACACGGUCCAGACUCCUACGGGAGGCAGCAGUGGGGAAUAUUGGACAAUGGGCGAAAGCCUGAUCCAGCCAUGCCGCGUGUGUGAAGAAGGCCUUCGGAUUGUAAAGCACUUUAAGUUGGGAGGAAGGACAGUAAGUUAAUACCUUGCUGUUUUGACGUUACCAACAGAAUAAGCACCGGCUAACUUCGUGCCAGCAGCCGCCGUAAAAC
rnacentral:rRNA from 1 species